CAACACUCAGUCAUAUUGACUGGCACGACAUUUUUUCAUUCCCAAACCCUACCCACCACGACACCCUACCAGCACCCGACCUCCUCUUCCUCAUCCUCCGCCUCCAACCAUCACCCAACUACUCUCUGCCUCCGCCUCCGUCUCCACUCUCCUCCUUCUCUGCCUCCGUCUCCGUUCUCCUCCGGCACACCUCCUCUCAUCUCUCUUCUCAAAUCACCAAAUCCACCAAUGACGCAGUCCAUGCCGGAGCUCCGCCUUGUUCCCUCGUCGAGCCCACCAUGGAAGAUGAGACCUAACAUUUAAAACAAGGCCCGCGGUCGAUUCAGGUUUGUUGAGUGGAUGGAUUGUUGCUGUUCCGGGACUGAAAUUACUCAAGAUGUUGGAUGGAUUCUUACUUCUUUUUCCAGUAGUUUCUGCAGUGCUUCCUUGUAGGAAUACCUUGUUACAGCAUCCAAGAACCAGAUCUUGUAUGUCUUCUUCAGUUCCCCUAGACUCCGGGAAACUGUUGGGACCAGGGUUUUGAUGCCAAUACCAGGAGGACUAAUUGAGCUUCUUGUUGCCAAACAAGUAAUUAGAAUGUAACUAGUCGCAUAGCUGCUUCAGAAUCUGAUCACUGAGCCUAACAUUCUUUCUGUAGACCUUCUAAAUGAUGUGAGUAUGUUAUUUGAGUUCAGAGAUCUCGGAUAAGGUUGAAGCUGAAGUGUCAAAGUUGGAGCAGCUCAAGUCAAUUAAGCUCAAAGAGAUCCUUCUGAAAAAGAAGUUGGAACUGGAGGAGGUAUGCAAACAGUCUCACAUGGUUACAGAAAUACUGAGUGCUGCAGAAUACUCAAAUGAAGCUAUAGUCUGCUUUAAGAUACAAGAGGGCCGUGUGAGAUCUGCCACACUCUGUUCAAAGGAGUGCGUCAGGGGAAUGAUAAGGAGAUGUGGAUGAAUGGGAUGAUAGCUUACAGUCAAAGGAGCAAGUUGAAGCAAACCUAUUAAGCAAGCAUGAAGCAGCAAUCAGAAGGGAAAGAGCCCCUCGCUUAUGCCUACUCUCAUCAGGAAUGGUGGAAACAUUGACUUCAAAAGCCACAACUUGGGAAAAAGAAAGAGGACUAGAAUUCUUGUACGAUGGUGUUAGUACUUUCAAAGUUAGACCAAUUGGUAAAAGUUAUUCAAAUUGUGGUUUAGGGUUGGUCAUAUUCACAUGGUGUGAUAUCAAACAAUUUUAUGCUCAUUUUACUAUUUAUUCACAUUUCUCAUAUAUACUGUAUUGUGUUCCAAUACAGGUAAAGGGGUUUCAGUCUAGCAAAAGUUAAUAGAAUCUUGAAGUAGGGCACCAGUGAAUGAUCUCAAUUAAGUGAUAAAGAGGCAAAUUCAUUGAAUUUGGAGAAGUCAAUUGAUUAGAUUGAUCAUCGCUGAAAGCAACCAAGACUAGCAUGCAAAACCAGUUCCACCACUAAUUGUAGAAAUAGAUGCGGCCGUCGUAGAUGUAGUAAUUGCAGCAACUAGGAACAAAACUGCAUGUAGUUAUUACAGUAGUGGUAUCUUUUAAAACUUUUGAAACUACCUCAAGCUCUAAUUUUGGAUAGAAAUUAAUACAAUUCCCUAAUAUUUAAAGUA